rnacentral:rRNA from 1 species
GGGUUGUGAGGUUAAGCGACUAAGCGUACACGGUGGAUGCCCUGGCAGUCAGAGGCGAUGAAGGGCGUGCUAAUCUGCGAUAAGCGCCGGUAAGGUGAUAUGAACCGUUAUAACCGGCGAUACCCGAAUGGGGAAACCCAGUGUGACUCGUCACACUAUCAUUAACUGAAUCCAUAGGUUAAUGAGGCGAACCGGGGGAACUGAAACAUCUAAGUAC